rnacentral:rRNA from 1 species
GUCGACGAACUCUGGUAUUGAUUGGUGCUUGCAUCAUGAUUUACAUUUGAGUGAGUGGCGAACUGGUGAGUAACACGUGGGAAACCUGCCCAGAAGCGGGGGAUAACACCUGGAAACAGAUGCUAAUACCGCAUAACAACUUGGACCGCAUGGUCCGAGUUUGAAAGAUGGCUUCGGCUAUCACUUUUGGAUGGUCCCGCGGCGUAUUAGCUAGAUGGUGGGGUAACGGCUCACCAUGGCAAUGAUACGUAGCCGACCUGAGAGGGUAAUCGGCCACAUUGGGACUGAGACACGGCCCAAACUCCUACGGGAGGCAGCAGUAGGGAAUCUUCCACAAUGGACGAAAGUCUGAUGGAGCAACGCCGCGUGAGUGAAGAAGGGUUUCGGCUCGUAAAACUCUGUUGUUAAAGAAGAACAUAUCUGAGAGUAACUGUUCAGGUAUUGACGGUAUUUAACCAGAAAGCCACGGCUAACUACGUGCCAGCAGCCGCGGUAAUACGUAGGUGGCAAGCGUUGUCCGGAUUUAUUGGGCGUAAAGCGAGCGCAGGCGGUUUUUUAAGUCUGAUGUGAAAGCCUUCGGCUCAACCGAAGAAGUGCAUCGGAAACUGGGAAACUUGAGUGCAGAAGAGGACAGUGGAACUCCAUGUGUAGCGGUGAAAUGCGUAGAUAUAUGGAAGAACACCAGUGGCGAAGGCGGCUGUCUGGUCUGUAACUGACGCUGAGGCUCGAAAGUAUGGGUAGCAAACAGGAUUAGAUACCCUGGUAGUCCAUACCGUAAACGAUGAAUGCUAAGUGUUGGAGGGUUUCCGCCCUUCAGUGCUGCAGCUAACGCAUUAAGCAUUCCGCCUGGGGAGUACGGCCGCAAGGCU